UCCUCCCCUGGCCGGCCUCUGCCCCGCUGCUCUCCUGGAUGUCCCUGGCGCUCUCGCGGGGCCUCCUGCUCUUGCUGCAUCAGUCGGGCUGGUGCUGCGGCCGGCGGGUGUAGAGCGGGCGGGUCCCCGGGGGCUGCGGCUGCCCGUGCUUCCCCGGUCCCCACCCCGACCCCCCGGCCCCCCGACCCAGCUCCCCGGCCUCUGAGGCUGUGACAAUGGACUAUGACUUUAAAGUGAAGCUGAGCAGCGAGCGGGAGCGGGUCGAGGACCUGUUUGAAUACGAGGGCUGCAAAGUUGGCCGAGGCACUUAUGGUCACGUCUACAAAGCCAAGAGGAAAGAUGGGAAGGAUGAUAAAGACUAUGCUCUGAAACAAAUAGAAGGAACUGGGAUCUCUAUGUCGGCAUGUAGAGAAAUAGCAUUACUUCGAGAGCUUAAACAUCCAAAUGUCAUCUCUCUUCAAAAAGUGUUUCUGUCUCAUGCUGAUCGGAAAGUUUGGCUUCUAUUUGAUUAUGCUGAACAUGAUCUCUGGCAUAUAAUCAAGUUUCACAGAGCUUCUAAAGCAAACAAGAAGCCAGUUCAGUUACCUCGGGGAAUGGUGAAGUCACUAUUGUAUCAGAUCCUAGAUGGAAUUCACUACCUGCAUGCUAACUGGGUGUUGCACAGGGAUUUGAAACCUGCUAAUAUUUUAGUUAUGGGUGAAGGUCCUGAGCGAGGAAGAGUAAAAAUUGCUGAUAUGGGCUUUGCCCGAUUAUUUAAUUCACCUCUGAAGCCUUUAGCAGAUUUGGAUCCAGUGGUUGUAACAUUCUGGUACCGAGCCCCAGAACUACUUCUUGGAGCAAGACAUUAUACCAAAGCUAUUGAUAUUUGGGCUAUAGGGUGUAUAUUUGCAGAACUACUAACGUCAGAACCAAUAUUUCACUGUCGGCAAGAGGACAUCAAAACUAGUAAUCCUUAUCACCAUGACCAGCUGGACAGAAUAUUCAAUGUAAUGGGAUUUCCUGCAGAUAAAGAUUGGGAAGAUAUAAAAAAGAUGCCCGAACAUUCAACAUUAAUGAAAGAUUUCAGAAGAAAUACGUACACCAACUGCAGUCUUAUCAAGUAUAUGGAAAAACACAAAGUAAAACCAGAUAGUAAAGCAUUCCACUUGCUUCAGAAGUUGCUUACCAUGGACCCAAUAAAGCGAAUUACCUCAGAACAGGCUAUGCAGGAUCCCUAUUUCUUAGAAGACCCACUUCCUACAUCAGAUGUUUUUGCCGGUUGUCAAAUCCCUUACCCAAAACGAGAAUUUUUAACAGAAGAAGAACCUGAUGACAAAGGAGACAAAAAGAACCAGCAGCAGCAGCAGGGCAAUAACCACACUAAUGGAACUGGCCACCCAGGGAACCAAGACAGCAGUCACACACAGGGACCCCCGUUGAAAAAAGUGAGAGUUGUUCCUCCUACCACUACCUCAGGUGGACUAAUCAUGACCUCAGACUAUCAGGGCUACAAAUUGGAAAUAAAGUGAUAAAACUUGGAAGCAAUUCAAUAAAACAUCCCUAGGAAGCAUGAAAGUCUUAGAUUAUGCAGUUGCAAAACAGCUGCUCUUGUUGGCAAAUGACACCACUGGUUCUGAGGGAAAUUGGAGCUCACUGCCUUUGAAACUGCUGCAAUGGGGAGGCUCCCGAGAGUUUAUGAAAGUCUCCCACUCUACAUGGAAACAGAGGUAACAUUUAUUUCUUGGUGGUGCAUUCCAAGCAUACUCGCUAUUCGAAAGCCCUCUUACACUCAUUUCUGAGCUCAUUUAUUUAUUUAAGAGCUGCACAAUCCCAGCUUUGUCCCUGUGGUGGAAAGAGAUUCUACCACAUUCAGACAGCAAUGACUGGUUUAGAAAUGGUUUGUCUUGGUCCAAGCCAAAUGUCUCUUCUGCAGCUUUCAUUAUGUCUAAAUGAUGCUCUUAUCCUUAAACAGAACACACUUUCUCAGUCCCCCAGGAAGCACUUGAUUUAUUCUCCAGCCCCAGGGACAGGAGGAAGCGGAGGCUAAAGGGUAAUCACACAGCCAGGUGAGCCUCCAUUGAGCUGUAGCCUGGGAGAAAAUGGUUUUAAAUGCUGAAAGGGUUUGGUGUGAUGCCAACCUAUUCUCUAAGGAACUUGCUCAGCCUGCCCUGGAAAUUGGAUAGACAGGAAAGAAAGGAUUCAGAAUACUUCCAAAGGGGAACACCUGAGGCAGCUGUCAUCAUCCUGGCCACAGAAGAUGGUCACCAGGAACAAUGCCUGUAGUGACCUGGAAAAGAGAGACCUAGGAGAGUGUGAGUGUUCACAGCCCUGGCUCUUGGGGUUGUAGAGCCUGGGGCUUUGGCAUCCACUAAGGAUUGGUUACCCCAUUUACUGUCUAUAUUUGUUCCUAUCUGCAUAAGGAACAAGUAUAGACAAUAAGUGGGGUAACAGUACCAGGUGUUUGAAGGAAGACAGAUGUCUAGGUUAAGUUACCACUAGAAGAGUUGAUCUUGGCAUUCUGGGUUCUGAGUUUCCUCCCCUGCCAUCAAGGAUGUGAAGCUGAGUGGAAUAAGGGACACAAUCCCUGAGUUGAGGAUCUCAAAAGGCAAUUCCAGGCACAGCUGUGAAAUAAGAGUCUAAAGGACUGCUCUUAAAACUUCAUUCAUUCACUGAGACCUACUGUGCACCAAACAGGGUGUCAGGUUCCUGGGAUGCAGUGAGAAUAAGCAUGCACAUUUAUUGGGUAUGUAGGGGGACAGGCUGUGUUGCAAGUCUAAUAAUAAUUAAGUAUUCUGUCUUGGUCUGUGUUGUGUUGCCAUUAAAAAUACCUGUGGCUGGGUACUUAAAAAGAAAGGAGGUUUAUUGGGUUCACAGUUCUGGAGGUCUAAGAGAAUGGCACCAAUGUCCUGGUGAGGGUCACUUGGCUAUAUUACAACGUGGCAGAAAAGGCAAACAGUCACUUGUAGAAGGGCAUGUGUAUGAGCAAGGGAGCAAGAGACCAGGGAGGGACAGGCUCAGUCUUUUCAUAAAAACCUGUUCUCACGGGAACUAAUCCAUUUCUACCUAACCUGACUCACUCUUAUGAGACAACAUUAAUCCAUUUGUGAGGGUAGAGUCAAAUGACCUAAUAACCUCCCAUUAACCUCUUAAAGGUCCCACCUCACACUACCACACUGGGGACCAUGCUUCCAGCACAUGAACAUUUGGGGGACUCCCAUCUGAACUAUAGCCAAUGCUAAAUUCACUUCUUAUUGUAAGACAUGCUGUUGUAAUUUCUCCCCUAAAAUGAAAAUUUUUAUAAUUCAAAGAUAGCCCUUUCUAUAAUACGUCAAAGUAAAUAGUAGCAAUUCAAGAAACAUGCCCAGGCUCAGAGUAACUGGAUUCAGCUUGUGAGAUUCCUUGAAAGAGUUCUACACAAGGCCAGGGCCAACCCCAUCCCCUGAAGAGUGCCUGGCCAGCUGGAAAUACCUGCAGCUCCCUCAGCUCCAGCUUCACUUCCCAAUUUGCUCCACUUUAAUCUCUACCUUUUAUGUAAUGUCUAGUUGAGACCACAGGGUCACCUUAGCCUCUGUGGAUGAAACAGAGUAGGGUUCCUGGGGGAAUUAGAAAUUUCUUGUGACAAUGAUCUGGAAAAAGGCAGUCCCAAGCAAAGAUGGACAGCAGACACUGCAUGUUAGGCUGGAUCCUGCUCUCUGAGGUCUACUCCUUAAAGCAAGUGCACUAGAGCCAGGGGUAGAGUGGCUACCCCAUGCAUGAAGAACUUCCAUUUCAGACUUUUCAACAUUAUUUUAAAAUAAUAUCAUACAUUCAAUCCCAGAGAAAAUUAACAAGAGGGAAAGAUGUCCAUUGCUUAAACUUAAAGUUGUGUCCCACUCCCACAUCACACACCCAUGGUGCUUUAGGAAUUAAUAUACUUUUAUAAAUGUCAUAAUUAUUCUGUGACAGGCACAAUUAUAUUAUAUCAUAUUCUGUGCAGGCAUGAUAGAUAAGUCAAUUUGUUAAACUGUGAACAUUCAAAAUAUAUCAAUAUUUUUGAAACUGCUUUUUGGCAUUCCUUUAUUUUUUUAAUACAUUGGAUAAUUAAAGAAAAAGAAUUACAGCCAUCACAUUUUUUCACCUCAGAGAGUGCCUACCUGGCCUGACUGUCUGGGCCUCCAGGUAGAGGGGGGCAUACUUCUCAAAACAUACUGCCCAGGCCACUGCAUCCCUACCACCUGGAGGUCACUCAAAAUGUAGAAUCUCUAUCCCACCUCAGAAUCUGACUCUGACUUUUAACAAGAGCCUCUAGCAAUUUCUAAGCACCUUGAGAGUUUGAGAUGUAUCAUUGUCGAGAAUAUAAGGAAGAGAUAAGCCAUCUGUUAGUUAGGCAUAAUAACAGCAUCCUAUUCUCUGUCUCUAUUUGGCCCUGUUUGGCACCAUCUUUAACACAGUUGUACUUAAGUGCUGUGUUUGCUUUGUUUGUUUGUUUUUGCUGUGUUUGGAAGUAAAGAGUGAGAACUCUAAGCAGUACACAAAGACUCCCUGAAGAAUAAUUCAUGCAGAAUCAUGCUCUAGGAUUCCCUAACUCCACUUGAAGGCCAACCAAGCUUCACUCUCUGAGUAUGUCCUUGAAGUAAAAAGAGGCAGAUAUGGGAGAAGCUGCUGUAAAACUGAUGGGCCAUUUCCAUGAGAGCAGUUUGUUUUCAAUCCAAGCCUAUUUCUAUGCUGAAAUUGUCACCAAGGAGUAGGUGAGACUAGAAUUGAUUCCAUUCAUUCACCAGUUUGUUAUUGAGCACCUGGUACAAGGUCUGGCAAACUAUACCUGAGGACCAAACCCAAUCCACUGCUUGAUUUUAUAUAGCUCUUCAGAUUUGAUAUAUGAAUUUUUGCAAUCAUUUUUUUUAGGGAACAUGAAAUUUUAACCCCAAUUAAUCAUAAUGGUAUUCUCCCUGCACAAAAAGAAAUAUACUGAAUUUAAAAAUUGUACUUAGUGGGCUGGGGAUAUAGCUCAGUUGGUAGAGUGCUUGCCUUGCAUGCACAAAGCCCUGGGUUUGAACCCCAGCACCACACACACACAAAAAAAAUUGUACUCAGAGCUUCUGGGUGUAGAAAUCCAAAAUGGCACGGUAAGAGAAGUCAACCUUCAUUCUUCUAUCAGCCAAAAUAAUCCAGAGAGGUUUUAGGGGCCCAUUAAAGAAUCUGCAGUAAUACAACAGAACACAAAAUGGAGAAUAGCUGUAUAAAAGGGUUACUAAUUAAAUUAGCAGAGACACUAGGAGACAGCUAGGAAAAAAUAAUGGUGGAGGCUAUUGGUAUCAACCACAUGGUAAGAACCACUGUCGCUCCCAGUGGCCUCUUUUGUGGAGUACACUCACAUCUCUUGCCCCUGAGGUCACCAUACUAUUCAAAAAGGGAAAUGUAGCUCCAUAGCCUUUCUCUUCCCAAGAAAUGGUCAUUGUUGAACUGCUUUGGGGAAGGAAUCACUCCUCACAAUUUCCAACCUGGAAGUGUGUCCAACCCACAAAUGCCUGCACCCAGAUUUUAUGGCUACACUGGGUCUGCUCACAGUUUGGACACAGGAGUCAUCAUAUAGGAAGGUGGUUUACACUUUGGGCCUGGAGAAAGCUCUCACUAUGCAUUAUCAUGCUCCAGGCUCUAGCUCAGCUGCCAUAAAGAGCUAGACCCCCACCCUGAUACUAGAGGCAUUUGCUAUACCCACUGAUGAACUCCCCAAGAUUUAACAAGAUAAGGGACAGAAAUACUGUAAAAUAAGGAGAUUUCAGAUUUCAGAUGUAGCUGAGUGGUAGACAGCUUACCUAGCUUGUGUGAGGCCCUGGGUUCAUUAAAAAAAAAAUUAGAGAACUUUAAUGACCCACUUUCAACAAUAAACAGUUCAUCAAGACAAAAAAAAAAAUCAAUAAGAAGCUUUAGACAUGAACUGCCUUUUGGACAAAAUGGACCUUACAAAUAAAUCCAGAAUCCAUCCAAUAAUAGCAACCGUGUAAAGUACACAUUCUCUCGAAUAGUUCAUAUGUUAGGCCACAAAAUAAGUCUUAACAAACUUAAGAAGAUUAAAUCAUAUCAAGUAUCUUUUCAAGCCACAAUAGUAUAACAAUAAUUUUGGAAAAUUCACAAAUAUGUGGAAGUUAAACAACAUGCUCACAAGCAUUUCUUCAAAGAAGAAAUUAAAGGGAAAUUAAAAGUAUUUCAACACAAAUAAAAAAUGAAAACACAGCAUAUCAAAACUUAUGGGACACAGGAAAAGCAAUUUUAAGAGGAAAAUUUAUAGCAAUAAAUGCCUACAUUAAAAAAGAUUCUAAAUAACCUAAUAUCACACCUUAAAGAACUAGAAAAAUAAGGAGCAAAAAAGCCUAAAGUAGGUAGAAGAAAGAAAAUAAUGAAGAUGAGAGCAGAAAUACAUGAAAUAUAGUCCAGAAAAACAAUAGAAAAUAUCAGUGGAAACAAGAGUAGGUUUUUUGGAAAGAUAAACAAAAUCAACACAUCUUUAGCUACACUAAGAAGAAAGAGAAGACUCAAAAUAAAAAGUAAAAAAAGAUACUUUACAAUCAAUACCACAUGAUACAAAAAAGUCCUAAGAGACUACUAUGAUUUAUACACUAACAAAUUGGAUAAACUAGAAGAGAGAAAUUCCUAGAUACAACCUGCCAAGACAAAAUAAUGAAGAAAUAGAAAAUCUGAACAGACCAAUAAUGAGCAUGCAGAUUGAAAUAGUUAUAAAAAAGUCACCCAUCAAAGAAAAGCCCAGGGCCUGAUGACUUCAUUGCUGAAUUCUAAUAGAUACUUAAGAGAAAAAACCAAUCCUCCUCAAACUUUUCCAAAGAAGUCAAAUAAAGGGGAAAAUGACAAAAAUCAUUUUGUAAAGCAAACUAGACAAGGAUACCAAAAGAAAAGGAAAUUGCAGGCUGAUAUCCCUGAUUCACAUAGUUGCAACAAUCCUCAAUGAAAUACUGGCAAACCAAAUUCAACAGCCUAUUAAAAAGUUCAUUUACCAUGAUUAGGUGGAAUUUAUCAUUGGCAUGCAAGUAUGGUUUAACAUAUGCAAAUCAAUAUAUGUGAUACACCACAGUAAGAGAAUGAAAGUCAAAAACUAUCUGAUUAUAUCAACAGAUGAUGAAAAGAUAUUCAACAAAAUUCAAUGUCUUAUGAUUAAAAAGAAAACCUCUCAACAAUUUAGAUAUAAAGGAAAUGUAGCUCAGCCCAUAAAGGCCAUAUAUGACAAGCCCAGAGCUAAGAUCAUAUUCAACUGUGAAAAUUUGAAUGUUUUCCCUCUAAGAUCAGGGACAUGACAAGGAUGUCCAGUCUCACCACUUCUUUUCACCAUAGCACUAGGAAUCCUAGCCUGACAAAUUAGGCAAGAGAAAAAAAUUAAAGAUAUCUAAAUUUAAAAUGAAGCUGAAUUAUCUCUGAUCUUAUAUUUAGAAAUUACUGAAGACUCCAUAAAAGCAAAACAAAACAAAAAAACAACUGUUUGAAUUAGUAAAUGAAUUAAGUUGGAGGGCACAAAAUCAACUUGCAAAAAUCAGUAGCAUUUCUAUGAAAUUAGGAGCCAUGUACAGAGGCAUACACCUGUAAUCCCAGCUAUUCAGGAGACUGAAGCAGGAGGAUUGCAAGUUCAAGAUUAGCCAUGGAAACAACAAGACCUUGUCUCUCAAAAUAGAAAACUAAUUUUAAAAAGGUCUGGGGAUAUAACUCAGUGGUAGAGUGCCCCUAGGUUCAAUCUUCAGUUCUCCACACCAAUUGUACUAAUUUAUGACUAGCAUAUUUUUAAUUAUGAAAAUGUGUUUUCUAAGUGAAAUUUACAGAGACAGUAAGUAGAAUGGUAGUUGCUAUAACAGUUAUGGUUUAAUGGAAAAGUCUGUGGGGUGUUGAAAGGUUCUAGAUAGUGGUGUUGAGGAUCAUAAAGUAAGGUGAAUAUACUUGAUGCCCCUGAACAAUACACUUAAAAUGCCUACAAUUGUAGGUUUCAUGUGCAUACACAACCAUAAUAAUAACAACAAAAAAGCAUUAUGGACAUUAAAUCAGUGGCACGGAUCAGAAGUAGAGGUAAGGCUCAGGAACGGGCACCAUUCACACUGUUAGUACAUUCGUAAACUUAUAUACCCUCUUUCAAAGACAGAGCCUCAGAUAGAGGUUCUAGAGAGUGAUCUCUCAGCAUUUUAAGAAAAUAUCACAGCACAUGUUCAGGAAAAUGGCAAAUGAUCUGGGGCCAAAGUGAUGGAAGAGCCACACUGUUCUGGGGAAAUCAAUGAGGGGCCGCAGAAGCCAUGGCCCAGAGCAGUCAGGUAUGAGCAACUUCAAGGAGGUACAUUCUUCCAUGCUGGGAGAGAAUAUAUCAAGCUGGUGUGGUUGGGGUGGUGCCUUGUUCCAUAUGCACUAAUGGGCCCUUUGCCACAUGGCAUAAGACGUGGAGGCCAGCUUGCACAGGCCCAUGGAAGUAACACAUGGGAUGGACAGUGCGGGCCUGAGCGCUACAGUUUAGAACUUGAAUGCCCCUUAAAAGCACAUGUGUUAAAGGUUUGGUCCCUAGAGUAGCACUACUGCAGAAUGGUGGAAGCUUUAGGUGGUGGGGUCUAGGGGGAGACCCUUAGGUCAUCUGAGGUGUGCCUCAAAGGGGAUUGUGGGACCCCAGUCUCUUUCUCUUUCUCUUUGCCCCUUGGCUUGUGAUGUAAGUAGUUAUGCUCCCACUAUGAUGGGCUGCCUUACCAUCAGCCCAAAAUAAAGCACGAAUUAUGGACUAGAACCUAUUAAACUGUGAGCCAAAAUCAAUCUUUCUUCUUUAUAUGGCAAUUAUCUCAGGUGUUUUGUUAUAGUGAUGGAAAGCUAACACACUGAGGAGGGUGAACUGUUGGCACAUAUCAAGGCAUGAAGACUGUAUACCAUACCCUCAAUCCAUUCUUUGUCUUAAAAUAAACUUUAAGCUACUCCACUUCUUUGACACCAAUCAUUCUGCCCCACCACACCUUGAAGGACAGCAGCCCAUUAGCUACAGGACCAACAUGCUGGAUUGACAUUGUUUAUAUGCUUGCCUAUCUCCCUUACAGACUGAGUCUGUUGCAGUAGUCAAGGCUGCUUUUUCCUGAGAUGGAGGGACAAAAGCAUACGAGGAUGCUGUAGAAGGUGCAAACCCAGUGUUCAGAGGAUAUCAUUUCUUUCUUCUAUGACAUUCAAACCCUGAGGCUCUUAGCCAGUCAUUUCCAAGGGCAAGCUCCAAAGACAUCAUGAUGAUGGCCAAGAGCUAGGACUGGCCCAUCUCAGGGCUCAGCUCAGCAGACCUGGUACUACCAGGGGCAAAGGGGCUCCUUGGAGCUGGGUGCGCAGUAACUUAGCUGCUGCAUUACUUGGUAGCAACACAAAUUAGUUAGAGUAGGCUUCUCUCAGCUGCUGCCAGAGUCCAACAGGAAACCCAGCAUAGGAGAGACCCAGGAAGAGCCUCCUAAAAAUCCCCAGAAGAGAACCCAGGUGAAUAUUUACCUUAGAAGCUGGCUCUAGUGCUCCUCUCAGAGCUGAGAAAGAGUCAUAUUUGACUUCAGAAAUGGUUGGGGGGAACUGAACCAAAGACAAGUGCCAGUAAGCCAGUAAGUGGCUGAGCAAUGGGCCAGGGAGGUGACCCUGAUCAGGGAAGAGGCAAAAACCAGAGAAGAGCUACAAUACUCAAGUUUCUAGUUGCAUUGAGGGAAUCAAAUUUCUUCUCUGGGUUCCUAAGGACUCAGAUGUGGGGUGUGUGUAUGUGUGUUUGUGUGAGGUGGGGGGGGGGGAGAAAGAGAAAGAAAGAAUAUGAAUAUGAAUGAGAAUAUGGGAGAAGUUUCAUUUCUCUGCAUGGAUGCAAGAACCCAGAGGCCAGAGGCUGAGGGCACAUCAUCUCCCUGCCCUCCCCAUAAUUACCAGAAAUUGUAGGUUUAACCCAGAUGCCUCUUAGAAAGUUCAGGAAGCAAGGUGGUUGGCCCCGGCAUUGGUGGGUUUAAACACCAAGCCAGAUUAUUCAGUGUAAAGAAGAGCUGAGGGGGGCUGGGGAUGUGGCUCAAGUGGUAGCGUGCUUGCCUGGCAUGCGUGCGACCCGGGUUCCAUCCUCAGCACCACAUACAAACAAAGAUGUUGUAUCUGCCGAUAACUAAAAAAAAAAAUAAAUAUUAAAAAAUUCUCUCUCUCUCUCUUAAAAAAAAAAAAAAAGAGCUGAGGGCCACUAAUGAAAGAAGGAAGGCCAAACCUUUGGUGAGGCCCCCACAUGGGGGUAGGUGGGUGGAGUACAGAGGAGCUCAGGGAAGCAGAGAGCCCAUGGCUUCUCUCUGGAAGCAGAGAGCCCAUGGCUCCACAUGGGAGGGCUGGUUUGGGGCCAAGAAAGGCCAGAGCUCUGACCCUUGCCCUUAGUCCCCAUACACAGUAAUAGUGACCAAUAUGUUCCGAACAUGUGCUCUGUACUGGGCGCUGCUGGAUGCAGCACUGGUGCCAUCCCGCUGAAUCAUCUAAAGCGAUUGCUUUUGAAGAUCAGGAUCCCUGAGCGUGGUCUGGAAACCCCGCACAGCGCCUAGGAUGCCCAGUAAACUGCAGAGGCUGAGGUCACAGUCCUGGUGCUGUCCCAGCCCUCCACAACCUGUCUCAGGGUGGGUGCUCCGAACAGAAAAAGGCCUGCAGGCUUCUGGGGUGGGAGACUAAGGUGGGGCUCUGCAGGGAUUGAGGCAUAAGGCGCGCAGGGAUCCAGCCCAGUCCAGAUGCGGUAUCUGACCACCCUCAGCAUUUUGCAGAUCACUCAAGCUGGGAUCAAUUCUGUUUUUCUGGUCAUUUUGUAAAGCUUGGGUCUAGUAUCUGUUUUUUUUGUGGCUUUUUCUUUUCAGUUGCUAUUUUAAAUUUUCAUCAUAUCUUUUGGAAGUAAGAAAAAUCCUUGGUUUCAUACGUCUGGAGAUCUAGUAUUGUUUCCUGCUAAUUCUGCAGGUAGGCGUGGAUUUUCCACAAACAAAAGUCACAGAUGUUCACCCAGUUAGGAAUUGCCAUGGAUUCCAGUAUCAGCCCUCUCCAGACCCUGCAGGUCCCAAACACUUAAUAAAACAAAACAGGCCAGAGAUCAAGUAUCAGAGUGAAAGAGGAAAGCAAAGUGAACUGGAGGAAUCAUUCCUAGUCUCCACCCCAAUGAUUUAGGUUUUCAGGUGAGCCCAGGAUCUGUCUUUUUAAUUUGGGGGGAUGCUUCUGCUGCAGCAAGACUUGGGAGGCUGUGGCCUGAAUGACCCAUAAACUGGAAAAUUGGCUCCUGUAUCCCAGGUGGCUUUACUUUAAAGAAUAAAGUAAGCAGAUGGUUAGGCCCACAGAAAGGUGGAAAGAACCCUUCCAAGGACCCAGCAGCCCUGAGUUUCAUACCCUCACUGCACAGUGUUAACCAGUCAUUAAUCCCUAUGACCUCAGUUUUCUUAUCUCUGACAUAAGAAAAUUGAACAACCUAAUCUCUUAUUGUUUCCUAUUAUGAAUUUAUCUGAUUCUGUGAGACCUGAAUUUCUUAUUCUUCAGUGAGGGUAAUGAUAUUUUGAAAGGGCUUGGGAUCAGUCCCCAGAGAAAAGAGUUGUGAAAUUUUUAGCAUCUCCUCCUGAUUUCAUGAAUUUGACAAGACCUUUCAUCUAGUUCUCUCAUCUUUCUUCCCCUCUGCUAUUCAAGGGAUCUCUGACCUAGAGGCAGUUCCCUCUCUGCUCAGCUCUCAGAAAUCUCUCCUCUGACUGUUCUUACUGACUGUCCCUAGAAACUUGGAAUCAUAGGUUUCAAACCUGGCAGGGUAUUAGGGUCACUUGGGAAACUUUUAUAAAAUCCUGGUGCCCCAAACAAUUGAAUCAAAUUCUUGUUGGGGGAGGAGGCUUAGGCAUCUGUGGAUUAUUGUUGUUAUUGUUAGUUAGUUAGUUAUUUGUUUGACUCUAGACAGGAACUGGCUAAGUUGCCUGGCUGGUCUUGUACUUGUGAUCUGCCUGCCUCAGCCUCCCAGAGAGCUGGGAUUAGGGCAGGGAAUGGUGGUUGGCACAAGAAACUUGGAGCUACUGAGCAGGGAAAUCUCAGAGCUGGGUUUCCAGGUUCCUCUUCACCCAAGUAAAGGCAGCAAGUCUGAAGGAUUGAGUUUUCUGCAUUCACAGGUCUUUUUUGCUGUGGCCUACUGCCAACGGUUUAGAUACAUCAGAUCAAUUUUUUACAGGACCAAGCAUCAAAAUUACUGAAGUGAAAGGAAAAGCCAAGCCAAGUGGCACCACCAUAUACUUACUAGUUGACCUAAGUGAAGUCUUAUUAGACUUCUGAUUUGCAACGUGAGGCUGGCAUUUCUCUUCUACCAUAUAGUGUGGUUAGGUGGAUCUAAUGAGAUAACAUAUGUGAAUUUGUUCUGUAAAAUAUAAAAUUCUAUGCAAAUUGAAUGGACUUAAGUACUUUAUAUGUAAAAAGAAUUUCCAUAUUUAAAAAAUGAUAUCAAUUAUUUACAAAUUAAUCUAUAGAUUAAAAGUAACACCAAACCCAAUUAAAAUCCCAGAAGCUUUUUUAUAGAAAUUAACAAGAUGAUUCUAUAAUUUACAUGAAGACUCAAAGGACCUAGAAUAGCAGAAUAGUUCUAAAAAGGCUGUAAAAACUUGAAAUAUAUUUCCUGAUUGCAAAGCAAGAGUGCUCAAGAUAGUGUGGUAUCAGUGCAAAGAUAAGAUAUGGUUCAGUAAAAUAGAAUAGUAGAUCUAAAAAUCAGUUCAUAUACAUAUGACCAAUCGAUUUUUGACAAAGUUGCUAAGGCAAUUCAAUGGCAAAAGAAUUUUUUCAACAAAUGGAACAAAGACAUAAAUAAAAGAGCUGUAACUAUAGAACUACUAGAAGAAAACAGAACAAUCUUAGGGUAAGACCUUGGGUUAAGAAAUAACUUAUUAAGUGGCAUACAAAGUGCAAAAAGUAAUAAAUUAGAUUUUACCAAAAUUAAAAACUUCUGUUCUUCCCAAAUAGUGCUAAAAUAUCAAAAUGUAAGCCAUGGACUGUGAGAAAGUAUUUACAAAACACAUAUCUGACAAAGGAAUUUUAUUUGUAUUAUAUAAUGAAUGCUUACAAUUCAAUAUAAAAACUCAACUUUUAAAAACUGAGCAAAAGACUAAAAAUAUACUUUACCAACAAAGAAAUAUGUACAGCAAAUGCAUACGUGAAAAGAUGUUCACCAUCGUUAGUCACAUACCAUUGCACAUCUACUGGAAUAGCUAAGAUUAAAGUGACUGACAAGUAAUGGAAUCUGAAUUUCCUGUGCGUUGAUGGUCAGAAUGAAAAAUGCUAUGGUCAACUGGAAAAAGUUGGGCUCAUUUCUUAGAAAAUUCGAUGGGCACUUCCCAUAUGCCCCAGGAAUUCCACUUCUACCACAUGUCCAUAAUGAUUUACUUGCAAACUUUCUUAGUUCUGUUCAUAACAGCCCCAAACUAGACACAAAUUCUAAUCAAGUAGUGAAAAGAUAAAUAAUGGAAUAUGAUUUAGAAAAAGGAAUGAACUGGAGGUUUAUGCUUCAGUGUGGAUGAAUUGCCAAAUUGUUAUACUAAUAUAGUGAAAAGCCAGACACCAAGGCUCUCUACUAUUUGAUUUCAUGUAUAUGAAAUUCCACAAAAGGCAAACUGCACUGAUAGAAAGUAAAUCAGAAGUUACAAAGGGUUAGGGGGCAGGGUAAGAAGAGGGAAUUAAACGCAGAGGGUCCUAAGGGAACUUUUUUUUUUUUAAAGAGAGAGAGAGAGAGAAUUUUUAAUUUUUUUUUUUUUCGUUUUUGGCGAACAUAACAUCUUUGUUUGUAUGUGGUGCUGAGGAUCGAACCCGGGUUGCACGCAUGCCAGGUAAGCUCGCUACCGCUUGAGCCACAUCCCCAGCCCAGGGAACUUUUUUUGAUGAUGGAAAUAUUCUAUAUCAUAACUAUGGUGAUGGUAUACAGUUAUAUACACUUGUUAAAACUGAGUUUUUUUUUUAUCAAACAUGAUGAGUUUUAUUUUAUGACAUUAUUUCAAAACAGCUGACAGAAGAUAUUGACAAUUUCUGCCUGCAAGACACUGUGAUGGGAAUAGCAAGAGGAAUCAGUCCUGGCUUCUGUCCACAGUGAUCACAAUAAAAACAUACCAAAACAAUGGCAAUCAAGCAUUGAAAGUGCUACAACAGAGAUCUGGGCUCAGGAUAGAGAGGUUAAUUCUAACCAGUGGUGGGAGAGCCAAGUAGAUGGUCCUUGAGCCAAAUCUUGAAAGAUAGGUAAUGAUUUGCCAGGUAAUUAAGGUGAGAGAAGCAAUUCUAGGCAACAAAAGAAAACCUUCCAUGCUGGAAAUAAUCCAUUAGAUUCCAGGAAACACAAGUGGUAGGUUGAAACCCAGUAUACCUGGAAGAAUAUAUCUGAAGAUAAAAGUGUGCAUGGUGGUACACGUAGGCACAUGUGUUGUGGAGGGUUGCAUAAUGCAUGCCCAGGUGUACAGCCCGCAGUGCAGGCAGCUAAACUAGAGGUUGCUUGAGUGAAUUUCCUAAGGUAUCAAAUAAAACACAGACACACAAUUUACCUUUAAAUUCAAGCCCUGGGACAGCUCCUCUGCCCUCGGCCUCAAGCUCCUCAAAUGGGAGAGCAGGGAAUAUCACAGAGGCUGGCGAGAGAGCGCUAGGUUGUUUUGGAGUGGUCUUUUAUUGUGGGGACUCUGGUUCUUAAAAAUUUCCAUCCAUAAAAGGUCAAGAGGGGCAGGGUUAUAAGGACAGGUAAGGUAAUAACUCGAUCCCUGGGGAUGUAGGAAGGCACGCCCAUGCAUGAAGACACAUUUGGCUGCAUUUUUACUACUCUCAAGAUGGGGGCUACCAUCUACAGCCACUUAAAAGUAGCCACAUCAUUGGGGAUGACUGAUAGUGCCUCAAACCCAUCAGGAGAGGAAAACGCUGGUUACAUGACUUGGUGGCUCCCACACAGGUGCUCACAAUUUAUCCCACAAAGAAAAUCUACUGAAUAGUUUUAAGCUAUAACAAACAUACCCAGCUUUGUGCCUCGUACAUAUUACUCUGAAAGCAGAGAGAAAGACAGAUUGGAGGGUGGUGGCAGCUAGUUUGAAAGCCAAGAGACCAACUAAAAGAAGACUGCACUCAUUCAGGUAAGCCAUGAUUUUGUUCUUGAGUAGAGGGAUGUAGAAGGAUGUAGAGGGGAGGUUUAUGAGAGCUAUUAAGGUAGCAGAACUGGGCAGCAUCCUUGAGGAUGCUGCAAGGGAGAAUGAUGAAGAGUCAAAGAUGACUGCAUGGAUUCUGGUUUGGGUGACUGGAUGGCUGAUGGUCUUCUUUUUUUAAGAAUUAAUUAUAAUAGUGUUGUUAAUGUUAAUAUUCUUUUUUAAUUCUUAUUUUUAGGUGUAGAUGAACACAACACAAUGCCUUUAUUUUUAUGUGGUGCUGAGGAUCGAACCUGGGUCCCGCCCGUGCUAGGCGAGUGCUCUAUCACUGAGCCACAAUCCCUGCCUUGGUGGUCUUCUUAAUCAAGCUUGGGAAUGCAAAGGAAGAAUGAGUUUGGGAGAGAAUGAUAGCUUCAGUCAGAGAAAUGUUGAGUUUUAUGUGAUGGAAUAUUCUAGUAAAAUGUUUAAAAGGAAAUUGAAUACUCACCAGUAAGAUUCAGAAGAGAGUAGAUGUAUGGUUCACAGUAAUCCACUUCCUGGUAGCAUCAAAGCCAAGUGAUGAAUGAGAUUUCCCAGGGCAUUUACACAAGGUGGCAGGGAAGGCACAUAUUUAUGAAAGGGAUAGGCAGCAGUACGAGGUCUUGAAAGAAGCUGAGAAAAGGUGUUAAACAAUGUGGAAUUGAAGCAGGAGAGUGUAGUGUAGUGUAGUUAUCAGAGAAGACAAGGAACAAGAAAGAUUUUAGAGAAAGAUAUAAUCAACACUGUCAAAUGCCACAUCAAAGUAAAACAUGAUGAAAUAAGAAAGAAUCCACUGAAAUUGCAAAAUGUGAGAUGGCUGUUGUUAUGUGCCAAAGUAGUUGCUAUGGUAGCAGAGAUUGAUUACAGAGGGCCAAGGAAUGAGUGAGAUGGAGGGAAAUGGAGAAAAUGGGCAGGUAGUUUGGCAGUAAAGUGGAAGAGAAAGAGAGGUAGUGAAUAGGGAGGAAGAAUAUAAAAUCAAAGUAUUUGUUUUUGAAAACUGAUGAGACUACAUGUUUUAUAGGCUAUUGAGAAAAGCCAAUAAAAUAAAAAUUGUUGAAACUGUACACAAGUGGCCCAAUGUAUGAAAGCCCUAGUCAUGGAGAUGACAGAAAAGGUAGAAUUAAGAAGAGGACGCCUUUUCCUUUGGGAAUGGAGGAAGGAAAUAGGGGAAAGUACAUAUCUAGGUGAUUCUGAAGGUAUGAGAACAGAAAACUGAGAGAGUUCAUGACUGAAGACUAAAUGUCUUAAUGGGUUUGAGAAAAGAAGGGAGAGUAGGAAGAGCCAUUGCAAGGUAUUGGAAAGGGAGCUAAUUAAUCUGUGAUUGACAAAGGUAUUGAGGGUUGGACUUCACAUAUUUGCAGUGUCAUGUGUCUAGAAUGCAUGUGUGAUUUCUCUGCAUUAGGAUUGAGUUGCAUAAGUGUGGCAGCCAGGAGAACAGGUCACUGGAUUCAUCUGAGAUUUGGAUGUAAUAGGAGAAUGUGGUAGAAAUGCAAGUUGGUGAGGACCCUUUCAAAUUUAUUAACAGAGCAGAGAAAGUGAGGAACCACAAGCACAAGCCAGAUGGAGAAAAAACAGAACCAAGGUGGUAGUAUUAAUGGGAUAAAAACAGAGCUCAGAGGUUGAGGGGGCCCCUCCAUGAGUUUGAUGCGAAAAUUCAUUGAAUAGCAGGAUGAUAGAAGGUUAUGGUCAAGAGUAGGGUACUCAAGGAUGAUAGGACUUCAAAGAGAAGACAGAUCUGGGUGACACCAAGAUCCAAACUCUGGUGAUGUGAAUGGGAGACCUAAAUGAAGAGGAGGGAAUGUCAAGGUGCCUGUACCAAAAUGUUACUUGCAUCUUUUCAUGAGUGUUAAAGCCCCCAGGAUGAUGUGGGUAGUAAGCAAGUCUUCAGGGAAUGGGGAAGAGAAAGGGUGGACAAGACAGAUGUCACCCAUAUGGUAUGUAUGGUGAGCAUGGCCUGGACUUCAAAGAAGUUUGUACAUAACAGGAGAAGAGUAACGGGCUGAAAGGAGCAGCAAGGAGAGAGGAUGCUGCUGGCAGCUGAGGUUUCUGUGAUAUUUGGAAGGGUAUCACAGAACCCUAAGGAAGUGGGUGCUCAUUGUUUCUGCUUAAUUAAGUGUGGGGGAUCUUAGAUCCACAUGAAUCUUGGUGAGAAGUUUUGCUAAUACCCUGGAGAAGGAAAAACAGGAGACUAUUCAGGGACAGAGCCUGGAAAAGAUUCCUUCCCAGGAGGUUUCAGCGUCAUUUCCUAGGACGUUUACCACCUGAUAGAAUUAGCAGUGGCUGAUGGUUACUUGAAGGAGAAAGAUUUUAUUUUCAGACUUUCUUCAAAGGUCAAAGAUUGUGCCCAAAGCUUUCUUGAUAGGUAUUUGUUUAACAGAAUUGAACUAAAGAGUUGAGCACAUCUGUUACAUGGGUAACAGAACUUCAGAGCAGGAGGGAGCUAUGGUGUAGGGGGCCACUACUUGCAUGCAGUUUCGUGAUCUCCAUUCUCCAGCCCCAGCUCACUGCCCUGGGGUCGGGGCAGGUGGCCUUCAACAAUCCCUGUCUAUUGUACUUCCCCAGUCUUGUCUGGCUCUUCCAUUCCUCCCUGCACAUGUGUUCAUCUCUUCUUGGAAGGAAUCAUCCCCACUGCUGUCUGGAUAACUCCUACUUAUUUUUCAAGUCUCAGGCAUAGCCAAACUUGUCUCCUUGUGAAGCUCUUUCUGGCUCUCCUGGGCAUACUGAGGGGACCCUUCUGCUGCAUUCCUAUGCUCUCUCGUACUUUCCUUAAAGUAAUGAUCUUACCAUAGUAGAAUUGCCUUCCUUUCUCUUCACUGGACUACAAACACUUUGAAGUUAAGGGCAGGACCAGGACUUUUCACAUUAUAUAGGUAGCUCCUAAAACAGUAGUGGGAACAACUACUAGUUGAAUGAAUGAAUGAGCAAAUAAGAGAAUGAGUAGUGGAGAGACACUUUGAACUCAAACAGCCUGGGACUCAUUUUUAUUAUAUGAUGUAGUGUUUUAUGAGUUAGUAGAAAUUUUCAAGUCAUUACCUGCAAAAACACCAUAACUUUAAAAAUGUUGAUAAGCUGGCCAUAAUUGGCAGGAUACAUGGUAUCCAUCAUGUUACUUCUAUGAUCCCCAGAGUCUGGUGAUGGGGAGAGAGUAACUAGAAGGAGAAAUUGCAGGCUCUUCCUUGACAUAAUGGGCUCAUUUCUCACCUUCCUUCCCUGGAUGCCCUAGUGUUCCUCCACCUCUGUUAAACUUUUCUUCUGACACAUUCUGUGAAUGGUCUCUCAGAUUCUAACCUUCCCAUUAUUUCCAUCUCUACUACUCAAAUUUGAAUUUGAAUUGUGUCCAAAUUUUCCAGUUGGCUUUCCAGACUCAUGUCUCCUGCUACACUAUAUAGCUAAUGACAGCCUUCCUCUCCUCAAGAACUUGCCAUGGAUCCCUAGUGCCUUUUGCUUCAAAUCUAAACAAUUUAUCUCUGAGUUCAAGGCUUUCUAGCAAUGAGUUUCCCAUUAGCUACUGAGUCUUCCCUCACUGCUCACUGUCUUUUGCUGGAUUGUUCUAUUUCCUGUCUGACUUCUGUCCUUGCUAAUCCUCCUAAUUAGAAUAUUUUUUUCCAUUCCUCUUGAGCAGUUGACAUCUGACCCUUCUAAGUUUAGCUUGAGACUAGUCCUCCCCAUUCAACCAUUGACUGUUCCCCCUGUCUGUCAUGAUAUUUGUUUUUCCUCUUUGCUUCCUCUCCAUACUUUUGAAUACAGUUUGGACUUAAUUUCUAGCACUUCAUUAUAGCUUUCCACAGCAUUUUUCCAGAACUAUUUUAUUUCUUCAGUUCAGCUUGAAGCUCCUGCAGUACCAGGAAUAAAUAGCCUGACUCUGGGGUGUGAUUCCCCAAACACCUGGGUACUGCUGGACUUUGUUCCAGGAGAGACUUUAUGUAUAUCUUACUAGUUUAAAGACUGACCACGGCCCCCAAAGAUACCAGGCCUUAACCCUAUAAUGUUACCAUAUAAAUGUUACCAUAGUUAAAAAAAGGAUCCUUGUAGAUAUGAUAAAGUUGAGGCUCUUGAGUUGGAGAGACUAGCCUGGAUUGUAUGGGCCCCAAAUGCCAUUAUAUGCAUCCUCAUAGGAGAGAGAGGGAGAUUUAAUACAAAGAGGAGAAGACCAUAGGACCACAGAGGCAGACGCUGGAGGGAUGGAGCCACAAGCCAAGGCAUGCCAGCUGCAUUCCACCUAACACAUGAUUCUUAGUUUUAGUCUCAGAGAGAACUCAGCCCUGCCACCUUCUUGAUUUCAGGCCAGAAAAACUGAUUUCACACUCCGGCCUGCAGAAUCCUCAGAAAAAAAGAUCUGUGUUGGUUAAAGUCACCAAGUGCUUUGCUCCAGAAGCUGAGGAAACUAAAACAAUUGUUGUAUCUGUAUUUAUUGAUUAAAUUAAAAAUUGUGGGUUGAUUUUGGACUCCCUUAAAGAGGUUUUGGAAGAGAUCCUCUUUCAUCUGGAUUUCUCCAAGGCAUUUGCAGUAGUGCCUCCAUUUACCUCAGGGCUGCUGUGAGGACCCAAGGAGCUUUCUCGACACAUAAUCAUGGGAACAGAAGACUACAUUUGCUGCUUGGCUUAAUCCUCAUAACAAUUUGGGGGGUAAGUACUAUUAGUUACCCUUCCUCACACACAAACAAGGAAAUCAAGGCUCAGAGAGAAAGAAGUGCUUGUCCAGGGUUAUACAGAACUCCUUUAUGGAAUGGGACUUUGAAAGCUUGUUUGUGGACUGGGGAUGUAGCUCAGUGGCAGAGCUCUUGCCUAGCACAUUUGAGGCACUGGGUUUGAUCCUUAGCACCACAUAAAAAUAAACAAAUAAAAUAAAGGUAUGCUGUCUAUCUACAACUACAAUUUUUUUUAAAAAAAAGAUCUCUCUUUUGUCAUGUGUCUCUAGAUUCAUCUUUUUUUUUUUUUAAAAUCUCAGGGUCAUUUUCAUUGUCUCAGUCAGUGAUCAAAUGAGUAGGGUUUGCAGCCAGAUAAAUCCUAGGCUCAAAAUCCAGUUCUGCCACUUGAUAGCCACUGUCCUUAGAAAGUUCUGAACUUCUUUAAAAAGAAAAACUUGAUAUUGAACUUGGUAAAAACUUCUUUAUCAAGUUCAAUAUCUAAAAUAUUGGAUCAGUGAUGGUAAUGGUAUAAAUAAUUGUGUGGUUCUAUAAAUGAUAAGAUCAUAUAUAGAGAGUUAUUUGCACAGUGCCUGGCACAUUGUAACAUAUUAUCAUAUCUUUUUUGGGGGGGUUAUCAGGAAUUGAACUCAGGGGUGCUUGAUCACUGAGCCAUAUCCCCAGCCCUAUUUUGUAUUUUAUUUAGAGACAGAGUCUCACUGAGUUGUUUAGCACCUUGCCUUUGCUGAGGCUAGCUUUGAACUCACAACCCUCCUGCCUCAGCCUCCCGAGCUGCUGGGAUCCCAGGCAUGUGCCCCAUGCCUGGCCAUCUCAGCAUAUCUUAGCCAUGACUUUUUUUUUCUUUUUUCUUUUUUUUUUUCUAAGAGAGAGAUAGAGAAUUUUAAUAUUUAUUUUUUAGUUUUCAGAGGACACGACUUCUUUGUUUGUAUGUGGUGCUGAGGAUCCAACCCGGGCCGCACUCAUGCCAGGCGAGCGCGCUACUGCUUGAGCCACAUCCCCAGCCCCUUAGCCAUGACUUUUAUUGCUGUUUUUUUAAAAAAUAAAUUUAGAAAUUAUCCUAAAUUCUCAAUAUAUUCAAAUCAUGGGAACUGAAUACCAAAUUAUUAGUCUACAAAUAAAUUAUUAGUCUACAAUAAGGUUGCCAAUGAGCUGGGGUUGUGGCUCAGCGGUAGAGCACUCACCUAGCACGUGUGAGGCCCUGGGUUUGAUCCUCAGCACCACAUGUAAAUAAAAUAAACAUAAUGUGUUUUUACAACUAAAAAAUAAAUACUAAAAAAAUAAGGCUGCCAAUCAGGCCAGAUACCAUGUUAUCCUUCCUUUCUCCUCCCUGUGGAUAGGGACAGGGAUUAACAGAAAUUCUUACGCUCCACCCCACAUUUUAAAAAAUAUAUUCUGAUAUGGGUAUUACUCCUUUUUUUUUUCAAUGUCAUUUUACCUUCUUUUCACAGUAUGUCACAUUUCCAAGUUACUUUACAUUGAGCUAUGGCUCCUUAAUUUAAAAUUUCAAUAAAAAAAGAUUAACUCUUCUCUGACCUUUGAGUCCAAGAUCCUGGACACUGAAUUACUUUGGGAACUCUAAUCUCUCUUUCUGUCCAUGGAUGACAGUAUUUGUCCUCAAAGGAAAGAAAAAUAAGUUUUUAUUUGAGAAUCAGAUGAUGUAUCAUAGAGUUGCAAAGAAUUCCCUGCUAGAAAACUCAGUAACAGAAGGCCAAGUGCAUUAGUUAGAGAUGCUAUUGAUGCAAAGGGAAUGGAACCAAGUGUCCUCAGCUGCCCUUAGAUUAUCCUUCCUGAGAUAUUCAUCUGGGAGUAGGUCUUACAUUCCUGACAUUUGCAAAAGGAGCCUGCGGGACUUUUGCCUUAAAUGUAGGACCAGCUGGUAGCUCUCUCCUACAGUCAUCCCUGAAAUAUUGUGAAAUUCCUUUGUUUCCAGGAGCCUAUGAAGGGGACCUCAGAGAUAUGAGUGGGUAAUUACAGAACACUCUUAAAUCAAACUCAUUUCAGGCCCCAGAAUUGGCCAAACAUAUUUGUUUUUGCCCUUCUUUCUCAGCCUUCCUUAUACUUUCUUUUUGUGUGCACAUUUGUUAGUUUACAUAGAAGACUCUAAAACUGAUAAUGAAGUUUAAAUACCUUUGGGGAAAACUGGAUAUUUGUUGUAACUGCUUUUAAGAUUAAAUUAAAAUCCUGAAAGGCAAGAAGUGUAUCAUAGUAAUAUCAAGAAAGAGCAAAUCUCAAACAUGUUAUUUUAGAAAAGAAACUUCACAUAUGAUUUUAGGUUUAUAGCCUCCCUCAAACAAAACUUCAUAUCUUAGCCUCUUAUUCUGAAGAUUAUGAUUAUGUUGCUUUAGGUUGUUCACUUUAUCCUAUGUAAGAAAAUACAGUGUGUAACAUUUGAGUAUCGUAUUUGUUCAAACUCAAUGUGCCCUCUUGUCCAGUUCUUCUUAUUAUUUGUGGUAGUCAGCUUUCUGUCACUGUAACAAAAUACCUGAGAUAAUCAAAUGAAAAAGAGGAAAGGUUGUAUUGUCUCACAGUUUUGAGACCAGUUGGUCCUGUUGCUUUGGGCCUGUGGUGGCACACAGCAUUAUAAUUGCAAGCAUGUAGUUUCAGAGCAAGCUGCUCACCUUGUGGCAUCUGGGAAGCAAAAAGAGAGAGGAAGGGGCCAAAGUCCUACUGUUCCCUUCAAGGACAUACCCACAGUGACCUAAAACCUUCUGUUAUCACCUCUUACAGGUUCUACCACCUGCCAAUAAAACCAAAUUGGAGAUGAAGCUUUUAACACAUAGGCCUUGGAGUCCAAAUCUAUACUAUAGUAUUGUGGAUGACUAAAAUAUAUUCUUUAUUAAUAGGAUUUGGCUGUUUUACAACUCUUGGAUUUCUACUAUAAGCUUUAUUGACAAUGAAGAAACUUCUAAGGCAUUAAGUAUAACUCAAAGAAAUACCAUACCAUAAUGAAGGUUAGGCUGUUUAGCCACAUUUGAAACUAUUUUUCCCUCCUCUUAGAAGAAAACAUAGGGGAAAGGCUUCUAGACCUUAGACUGAAUAACAUCAAACAGAAGCAAAAAUAGACAAGUGGGAUUACAUCAAGCUUAAAAGUUUCUGCAUAGCAAAAGAAAUCUUUAGCAAAAUUAAAAAGCAACCUGUGGAAUGAGAGAAGAUAUUUCUUGAUGAUAUAUCUGAAAAAAAAAGUCAUCCACAAAUUAUGUAAGUAACUUCUAUAAUUCAAUGGCAAAACAAUCUGAUUUAGGCAAAGGACCUGCCUGAAUAGACAUUUCUCCUGAAAAAAACAUUAAUAUUUGGCAGGUAAAUGGAAAGGUGCUCGAUCCUACUGAUAAUCAGGGAAAUGCAAAUCAAAACCACAGUGAGAUAUCACCUUGAGUAUAUUAGGAUGGCUAUUAAUCAGUUUUUUUAAAUGACAAGUGUUCAUGAGGAUGUUAAAAAAAGGAACAUUUGAAUACUGUCGGUGGGAAUAUAAAUUGGUGCAGCCAAUUUAUGCAUGAAUCAACAUGAAUUUUCCUCAAAAAAAAAGAACUACCAUUUGGUUUAGCAAUCCUAUUUCUGGGUAUAUAUCCAGAGAAAAUAAAAUCAGUAUGUGAAAGAGA